AAAUAUUAGGACAUAUAAAAAAAGACAACUCUGUUCCGCAGAGUAGCUGUUGACAUUAUAGUUGCGCAGGAACUUUGUUGCCUCUAGAAAACCUCGGGCAAAUCACACAUCCCCGUGGUGGCGACUUUGCAUGCGGAUGUCAUCCAUAUCAACUUUCGAUGCCAGUUUCUGCGCCUACCAUGGUGACCACGGGUAAGGGGGAAUCAGGGUUCCAUUCCGUAAAGGGACCCUGAGAAAUAGCUACCACAUGCAAGGAAGGCAGCAGGCGCACAACUGACCCACUCCUGACUGGGGAAGGUAGUGAU